CCUACGGGUGGCAGCAGUGAGGAAUAUUGGUCAAUGGACGCAAGUCUGAACCAGCCAUGCCGCGUGCAGGAAGACGGCUCUAUGAGUUGUAAACUGCUUUUGUACGAGGGUAAACGCAGAUACGCGUAUCUGUCUGAAAGUAUCGUACGAAUAAGGAUCGGCUAACUCCGGUCCAGCAGCCGCGGUAAUACGGAGGAUUCAAGCGUUAUCCGGAUUUAUUGGGUUUAAAGGGUGCGUAGGCGGUCGGAUAAGUUAGAGGUGAAAUCCCGAGGCUCAACUUCGGAAUUGCCUCUGAUACUGGUCGGCUAGAGAGUAGUUGCGGUAGGCGGAAUGUAUGGUGUAGCGGUGAAAUGCUUAGAGAUCAUACAGAACACCGAUUGCGAAGGCAGCUUACCAAGCUACUUCUGACGUUGAGGCACGAAAGCGUGGGGAGCGAACAGGAUUAGAUACCCUUGUAGUC
rnacentral:rRNA from 1 species